UGGGGAAUAUUGCACAAUGGGCGCAAGCCUGAUGCAGCGACGCCGCGUGAGGGAUGGAGGCCUUCGGGUUGUAAACCUCUUUCGCCAGUGAAGCAGGCCAUCUUCUUUGUGGGGUGGUUGACGGUAGCUGGAUAAGAAGCGCCGGCUAACUACGUGCCAGCAGCCGCGGUAAUACGUAGGGCGCGAGCGUUGUCCGGAAUUAUUGGGCGUAAAGAGAUCGUAGGCGGCUGGUCGCGUCUGUCGUGAAAUCCCCUGGCUUAACUGGGGGAUUGCGGUGGGUACGGGCCGGCUUGAGUGCGGUAGGGGAGACUGGAAUUCCUGGUGUAGCGGUGGAAUGCGCAGAUAUCAGGAGGAACACCGGUGGCGAAGGCGGGUCUCUGGGCCGUUACUGACGCUGAGGAGCGAAAGCGUGGGGAGCGAACAGG
rnacentral:rRNA from 1 species